CCAGAUUCCAACUCAGCCUCCUGAUUUAUACUUCCUGGUCCUUGAUGAUUGGUGGGCAGGAUUAGGUGAUGUCACUGUCAUGUGACUACUCUAGCCAAGGCUGUGAUGUAGAAUGAGGCCUAGCAGGCCAAGAGAACACUGAAGCCUGGACUUCUGCAAAACACAGGAUGCUUGCUUUUAGAUUACUGAAUUCAGCCUCACACAGGAGAUCACCACAGGUGGAGCUGAUUACCUCUCAGGCAGAGAACUCAGGAAACUCAGUGCUGACAAGCUGUUUAACUCCGUGAGUAAAAAGACACAGGAUCCAGGACAGAAAGCAGGGUGGCAUCAAAAAGAACACGCCCCACUACUACCCCAAAUGUCGCACAUGGGGCUGCUGGUGCUGCAGGUUCAUCCUGGCAUCACCCGACUGCGCAAAUGCGCACGAGCCAUGGAUCCGCCACGCGGAAACACGUGGCACAUAAAAGACACCGUCCCGAUCUGCCGACACCACAAUCUGCAUCUCCGCCAAUGCGACGCAUAUCUACGGUCUCAUUAAGGCCACCGGCUGAUUUGUUGGCGCCUUCCCCAGCACGUGAACCACAGUCCCCUCAACUUCCAGAUGAUGCCAGCAUGACACCGGCCCACCAGCCAGCUGAUAUGGAGGUUACUUUUGUGCUUGACCUGCAGCCAAUAGACACUACCAGACCAAGCACGCACCUAUGUCUCUGCCUCCGCCACCAACUCCUCCGCAACCACAAAUGAGCCCAGCCAAACCACAGGCUCAAAACCCAGAGCAGGCAUUUUGGGACAGCUGGGCAACACAACAGUCGCACAAUUUAGACUGUCUUCGCAGACAAACUCAACUGCUCUCAAGUCUGCCACAUUACCUGCCGAGAAUCAGUCGCACUAUCAGCUGACAAAAUUCAGAGAUGAGUAAAAUAGCUACUUGUAUGGAGCAAAUGCGGGUUGACAACAGCCACAUGAUGAACACUUUGGCCCGUAUUACGGAUGAACAAAUGAGGCAGCACCAAAACGACCUCAAUCUGCUGGAAACAAACAAUAGUCUUACUGAAAGCCUAGGCAGAAUCAUUGAGAAUAACACGGCCUCAAAUACUCAACUUAACGCCACACUUACUAAUCUCAGCCGCAAUAUAACUUUAUUACACACACAACAAGGGAGCACCAGCUCCGGAACAACCACCCCAAUAAAUACGCCAGUUACCUCCCCAGUAAGGAGAUCAGACAGAGGAAGAUCUAACGUGCCUGGCCCAGACUCUGCCAGCUCUAAGGGUUCACAAAAACAUAAAGUAGGCCGCUGCAGGUGUAAUCUUCUUAGGGGGGUAAACAAUGUCAUGUUGUAAUAAAUAU